AAAGCUAUUUAGGUAGCGCCUCGGACGAAUACUACUGGGGUAGAGCACUGUUAAGGCUAGGGGGUCAUCCCGACUUACCAACCCUUUGCAAACUCCGAAUACCAGUAAGUACUAUCCGGGAGACACACGGCGGGUGCUAACGUCCGUCGUGGAGAGGGAAACAACCCAGACCGCCAGCUAAGGUCCCAAAUUACUACUAAGUGGGAAACGAUGUGGGAAGGCUCAGACAGCCAGGAUGUUGGCUUAGAAGCAGCCAUCAUUUAAAGAAAGCGUAAUAGCUCACUGGUCGAGUCGGCCUGCGCGGAAGAUGUAACGGGGCUAAGUAGUAAACCGAAGCUGCGGCAAUGUGCUUUUGCACAUUGGGUAGGGGAGCGUUCUGUAAGCGGUUGAAGGUGUGUGGUAACGCAUGCUGGACGUAUCAGAAGUGCGAAUGCUGACAUGAGUAACGAUAAAGGGGGUGAAAAACCUCCUCGCCGGAAGACCAAGGGUUCCUGUCCAACGUUAAUCGGGGCAGGGUAAGUCGACCCCUAAGGCGAGGCCGAAAGGCGUAGUCGAUGGGAAACGGGUUAAUAUUCCCGUACUUCUUACAAUUGCGAUGGGGGACGGAGAAGGCUAGGUGGGCCUGGCGACGGUUGUCCAGGUUCAAGUGCGUAGGCUUGAGAGUUAGGUAAAUCCGGCUCUUUUUAAGGCUGAGACACGACGUCGAGCACCUACGGGUGUGAAGUCAUUGAUGCCAUGCUUCCAGGAAAAGCCUCUAAGCUUCAGAUUGUAAGGAAUCGUACCCCAAACCGACACAGGUGGUCGGGUAGAGAAUACCAAGGCGCUUGAGAGAACUCGGGUGAAGGAACUAGGCAAAAUGGUACCGUAACUUCGGGAGAAGGUACGCUCUCGACGGUGAAGUCCCUCGCGGAUGGAGCUAUUGAGAGUCGCAGAUACCAGGUGGCUGCAACUGUUUAUUAAAAACACAGCACUGUGCAAAAUCGUAAGAUGACGUAUACGGUGUGACGCCUGCCCGGUGCCGGAAGGUUAAUUGAUGGGGUUAGACUUCGGUCGAAGCUCUUGAUCGAAGCCCCGGUAAACGGCGGCCGUAACUAUAACGGUCCUAAGGUAGCGAAAUUCCUUGUCGGGUAAGUUCCGACCUGCACGAAUGGCGUAAUGAUGGCCACGCUGUCUCCACCCGAGACUCAGUGAAAUUGAAAUCGCUGUGAAGAUGCAGUGUACCCGCGGCUAGACGGAAAGACCCCGUGAACCUUUACUACAGCUUGGCACUGAACAUUGACCCUACAUGUGUAGGAUAGGUGGGAGGCUUUGAAGCACGUACGCCAGUAUGUGUGGAGCCGUCCUUGAAAUACCACCCUUGUAGUGUUGAUGUUCUAACGUCGACCCCUUAUCGGGGUUGCGGACAGUGCCUGGUGGGUAGUUUGACUGGGGCGGUCUCCUCCCAAAGAGUAACGGAGGAGCACGAAGGUGGGCUAAUCACGGUUGGACAUCGUGAGGUUAGUGCAAUGGCAUAAGCCCGCUUGACUGCGAGAAUGACAAUUCGAGCAGGUGCGAAAGCAGGUCAUAGUGAUCCGGUGGUUCUGAAUGGAAGGGCCAUCGCUCAACGGAUAAAAGGUACUCCGGGGAUAACAGGCUGAUACCGCCCAAGAGUUCAUAUCGACGGCGGUGUUUGGCACCUCGAUGUCGGCUCAUCACAUCCUGGGGCUGAAGUCGGUCCCAAGGGUAUGGCUGUUCGCCAUUUAAAGUGGUACGCGAGCUGGGUUUAGAACGUCGUGAGACAGUUCGGUCCCUAUCUGCCGUGGGCGUUGGAAGAUUGAAGGGGGCUGCUCCUAGUACGAGAGGACCGGAGUGGACGAACCUCUGGUGUUCGGGUUGUGUCGCCAGACGCAUUGCCCGGUAGCUAAGUUCGGAAUCGAUAACCGCUGAAAGCAUCUAAGCGGGAAGCGAGCCCUGAGAUGAGUCUUCCCUGAUACUUUAAGUAUCCUAAAGGGUUGU
rnacentral:rRNA from 1 species